rnacentral:tRNA from 1 species
GCCGCUGGGUGACCCGGUUUGUAAACCGCAGGUCGUCGGUUCGAGUCCGACCGGUGGCU